GGGCUCGUGGCGCAGCAUGGAUAGCGCGGCAGCCUCCUAAGCUGUAGGUCGUGGGAUCGAAGCCCACCGAGCCCGCCA
rnacentral:tRNA from 2 species